rnacentral:rRNA from 1 species
UACGGAGGAUGCAAGCGUUAUCCGGAAUGAUUGGGCGUAAAGCGUCCGCAGGUGGCUAUGUAAGUCUGCUGUUAAAGAGUCUAGCUCAACUAGAUAAGAGCAGUGGAAACUACAAGGCUAGAGUACGUUCGGGGCAGAGGGAAUUCCUGGUGUAGCGGUGAAAUGCGUAGAGAUCAGGAAGAACACCAGUGGCGAAGGCGCUCUGCUAGGCCGUAACUGACACUGAGGGACGAAAGCUAGGGGAGCAAACGGG